GCCGGCGUAGCUCAGUUGGCUAGAGCACUCGCCUUGUAAGCGAGAGGUCCUCGGUUCGAGCCCGAGCGCCGGCU
rnacentral:tRNA from 1 species